UUUCCCCCUAUUUUCCUUUUAACCCUAAAUGAAUUCCCCUCCCAAAAUUCAUCCCCAGAUCUCGUACUGAUACCCCCUCUUCUCUUUUUGUUUAAUCAGCUUGUUUUGGCAUUACGAUAAAGAGAGAAAGAAACCGGACACGCAACAUCUCCAUUGAAUCCAUCUAAUCUCUCCUCUGAUUGAACGCGAACCAAAGGAAGAACAUAAAUCGGAAGCCAUCCAAUUCUAGACCUUAAUCGGAGCGCUGAAAACCAAUUAAGGACUGACGUGAUUAAGAAGGAAGAAACUAUGCCUGGCAGCAUUGGGUGAAUGGAUGUAGAAACAGAGGAAACUGAAAAUGGUAAUAAUGAUGUAUCUCGUCCCUAAAGAGGCUAAUGAUCAGCCGAAGGAACUACUAUACUAGAAACAAGCUUCUAAAAGGCUAUUGCAGAAUGGGAUACGGGUACUGAUGCGGGUCCUCUUGUAACUAGGCGUAGGCAUAUUCGGUUUGAAUCUCUUCAUGAAGGUAUAUAGGGGUGCUAACGGGUCGGGUUUGCGUGUCAACCUGACCCGAACCCGAAAAUUUUAGACUGAUGCGAACCCGAAAAUCAUGUCGUACAUAUGAACCCAAACUCGACCCGAAUAUUCGAACCCGACCCGUUCAACCCGAUUUUUUUUUAAUUUUUUUCAGCAAAUUAAUAUAUUAAAAUUAACACUACAACAAAAAAAACACAAAUUUAUAUAAUAAAAUUACAUUAAAAUCAUAUUAAUUUAUGUUAACUUCCAUUUUUAAGUUAUAUUUAUAGCAUAAAAUAUACACCCAAUUUAAUUUAUGACCUAAAACAUAUUUUUAAAAAUAUAAUAUAAUAGAAAUGGGUUAAACGGGUCAACUUGCCAACCCAACCGGGUUGACCCGAACCUGACCCGUUUAGCUAAACGGGUUCGUGGGUUCAACCUGAAACUGGCCCGAACCCGUUUAGACUAAACCCAAACCCACGAAUUUCGUGUUAGGUUCGUAUCAUGUUUUCGGAUCGUGUCAGAAAUUCACACCCCUAAAGAUAUAUGCUUAAUAUUUUACAUCUCUUGAUGUGGGUCAUGUUCUUCUCAUUGUGGCUUCCUUCGUAUUGCUCCCUUUUCACCGGUACUCGCUGGUGUUGGGGAUGCUUGUGGUGCUAAUGUUCAUCCCAAUUUACAAUUUAUGAGCGCAUUAUAUGGGGCCUUGCUAUAGCUAGGUUGAUUUUCUGACUUAAUAAAGUGAUAUUUCAAAUUUAAAGUGGAACUUUUUGAAUCAAAACUUUAGUUAAAAGUGGUUUAGAUGUAAAAAAGUUGAUGCAUGUGAUUUAACUUGUUGUAUAAAGUAGGUACACUGUUGGGUGGUAUAUGUUACAUACAGAAUAAAAAUGGUUUUGAGUAGAGGUGUAGUGGUUUGAAUUGAUGAACCCAACACGACUAGUAAGCUGACACGUUGUAAAUAGGUCGUAAACAGAUUGAACAUAUACAAUAUUUUUUUAUUUUAUGAGUUUAUUUUUUAAUAGGUUGACGUGUUAACUUGUUUGAUUAAACAGGUUAUAUAAGUCAGCUUAUUUCAUUUUACAGUUUAAAUGGGUCAGCCUAUUUCAUUCUGCAGUUUAAAUGGGCCAGCCUGUUUCAUUUUACAGUUUACACGGGUCUUUUCGAACUAUUAACGAACCGAUCUCGGUUAGCUCUUGAGCGGUCUGACUCUUGUUUACACCCCUAGUAUGGAAGGAUAACACUGAUUAAUAUUUGCAUUGUUUUGUUCAACCUGCAGGACCUAUGUAGGAUCGUUGUUGAACCCGAAUGAGUCAAUCAGAAGAGUUGUGAAUCCGAUUCAAAGGCGGAAUCAGUGAAACGGACGCUCAAACUAAUUAUAAUGCUUCUUUGAUUGAUUUAACAACGUUUACAACCUGAAAGCAAUUUGGCAGCACUUCGUUACAAUUUCCAGAUCUGUUGCCAAAUGAACAACAAUGCACCUAUAUAUAGUUGAGGUAGUUUCGCUUAUAUGGACGUCCAUAUGAACGAAACCUCAUGCUUGUGGUUUCGCUUUUAUGGACAUUGUCCAUAUAAGCGGAACCUCUUGCAUAACCACUAAGUUUCGACUCUCGAACCUCAUGCACUAGUUAUUCUAACCUAUCCUAUUCUAUUACAUGAUACAAGACGAAGUCAAUAGACGUAAUGCACUAACAGACUCCCCCUCGGAUAUUGACAAAGUCUUCAGUGGCUAUUCUCUGUUAUGACACCUCUUCAGUCUUGAUCAUUUUGCCUUCUCAUUCAGAUUGUAACAAUGUAAGCAUCUUUCAAUCUUUGUCUUUGAUCAGCUUCUCUCUUUUGAAUGUUAUACCAGGAUCUCAUCACUGGCUUUAUCAUCAACAACUUCAACGUCAGCAGGCUCCCCCUUUCGUUAAGCUUCUGUGCUUUUAGGGAUCGACACCAAGCUUUCCAGCUAACAAGCUCUUUCUAACUUCCAGCUUGUCUUCAGACUCCCCCUUAGACUCUGCUUUCGGGAUCGUAGUCUGGGAGCUAUUUGAAGCCAAAAUCAAGCUUGUUGAACUCGGGUUCAGUAGAGAUGCAGUUAUACAAGCUUUGAAGCUUUUUGAUGGUAAUGAAGAACAAGCAGCUGGAUAUCUUCUACCUCUGGAAAAGUUGUUCCAAAAUUUGAUUUGGAUAUUAACUAAGAUGAUGUGGAAGGCGGGUGUUCCAGCUAUGGACAGAUCAAGCAUAUAUAUGUUGACAAGUAUGUGUGUAAGUUCUUUAUCUCAGUCUACUAGAAUGAGCAUGUGUUAGAUGUGCAAAUUACCAUAACAUGGGGUUUACAAGUAGCAUGAAUAAAACAAUUGGAGGAUCAUACAACAUCAGAAUUGGCCACAAGUUACAAGUUUACUCCCCACCACAACAGCAGUAAUGUGCCACGAACCAUGAAUGCAAAUUUGCAGCACUUUUAGGUCUAAAACAAUGAGUAUGCGGACUUGAAGAAAACAGUCUGGAAAUAGUUCUUAGUUUAUGUGUAAAGUCAUUUUCAUUUGCAAGUUUUGUAGAUAGGUUAGUAUUGGUAUUUAAAUUGAAUACUUAUGUAUGGAUUUUGGGUUAUUAUUAUUAAUAGCAUUUGGUUUUUAGUUUUCUCA